rnacentral:rRNA from 1 species
GUGCCAGCCGCCGCGGUAAUACGUAGGGUCCGAGCGUUGUCCGGAAUUAUUGGGCGUAAAGAGCUCGUAGGCGGUCUGUCGCGUCGGCUGUGAAAACACGGGGCUCAACUCCGUGCCUGCAGUCGAUACGGGCAGACUAGAGUUCGGUAGGGGAGACUGGAAUUCCUGGUGUAGCGGUGAAAUGCGCAGAUAUCAGGAGGAACACCGGUGGCGAAGGCGGGUCUCUGGGCCGAAACUGACGCUGAGGAGCGAAAGCGUGGGGAGCGAACAGGAUUAGAUACCCCUGUAGUCC